GAUGAACGCUGGCGGCGUGCCUAAUACAUGCAAGUCGAGCGAACAGACGAGGAGCUUGCUCCUCUGACGUUAGCGGCGGACGGGUGAGUAACACGUGGAUAACCUACCUAUAAGACUGGGAUAACUUCGGGAAACCGGAGCUAAUACCGGAUAACAUGUUGAACCGCAUGGUUCAACAGUGAAAGACGGUUUUGCUGUCACUUAUAGAUGGAUCCGCGCCGCAUUAGCUAGUUGGUAAGGUAACGGCUUACCAAGGCAACGAUGCGUAGCCGACCUGAGAGGGUGAUCGGCCACACUGGAACCGAGACACGGUCCCGACUCCUACGGGAGGCAGCAGGAGGGAAUCUUCCGCAAUGGGCGAAAGCCUGACGGAGCAACGCCGCGUGAGUGAAGAAGGUCUUCGGAUCGUAAAACUCUGUUAUUAGGGAAGAACAAAUGUGUAAGUAACUAUGCACGUCUUGACGGUACCUAAUCAGAAAGCCACGGCUAACUACGUG
rnacentral:rRNA from 1 species